GCCAACUAGACAUGGAGCCAUUGAUCACUACCCAUUGAGCCCGACAAUCUAGCCAGCUUUCUACCCACCUUAUAGUGCAUUCAUCCAGCCCAUACAAUCCCAGCCAAGCCCACAAUACUACAUAAACUUAAUACAAUAAAGUAUUUCAAGGAUAUUGCAAGAAAUGUCCAUGUCUGCCCAUUUUAUAGCUGAAUGAAAAUUAGGCAUAAAGAGGUGAAGAGUCAUAUUUUCAAAGGUGGAAUCUAAUUUUGAUUGCCUCCGUUUUAGAUACCGUGGGCCUGAUUUUUCAGGAGCUCCUGUUGCCUUCUUUGGAGUUGUAGGUACUCAAAGACUUAGAAAGUCACACCCUUGGCAUUAAAAGUUGGGCACCUGAAAUUACAGGGCAUUUUUGAAAAUGUGACCCGAUGUAAAUUGCCCACCGUUUCUGAUAAGGAAAUGGAAUUCAGAACUUACAACUAGUUUUCAGUGUCACUGAAUCACCUCCUACUCCCUGGUGUGUUCUGACUAAGUCAUAACCUCUCCUGGGUGUUAUUGUGGACUGCUGAAGAAAGACAUCUGCUCAGCUAUCAAUUACAGUCUGUUCAAGGACGUGAAUUAUUUGUAAAAAUGUAUUAAGGAGGAGAUAGAGAAUUAUACUGAAAAUAUUAGAGGACUUUUGUGAUACAGCCUCACUUUUAAUUCUGCACUAGGGUUUGGUCACCUACUUUAAAAAAAAAAGGAAUACAAGAAAUAAAACAAGAUCCAGAGGAACAAAAAAUAAUAGAAAUAUAUGGCAAUUUCCGUAUUAAGAGAUUAAAAGGACUAGGAGGAUUUGGUUUGAAAAGGGGAAGAUGAUUAAGAAAAGACAUGAUACUGCUAUAUUAAAAUUAGUUAAUGGUAUAGUUAAGUUUAUUGUGAAUUUAUUUGCUCAAGUUGGCAGUCAGUUUAACAUAUUUUUAAUGUUAACUUUAUGGAGGGUUUUACCUUGAGAUUGUAAAAGCUCUAUCUAGCAUAGUUGUGUAGAAUUAGAUAAUAUCAACUGUGACAAACUCACAAUAUCCUGUACAAAGCCUUAUGGAAUUAAGAUAAAUUUUACUGAGUGAAGUUAAAUUUUACUGAAUUAGCAUUAACAGCUGUGGGGUACAUUGUAUUAAAAUGUGACUGUGUAUGUGGUGGUGUGGCAUUGUAUAUACCUUCUCUGAUAGGGAGGGAGUUGUUACCUGCACAGAUUAGGGCACCCCACCUUUUCCCAGUCCGCAGGGCUCCAGGCAAAAAGCACCUACCCUUACCCAAUUCGUAGGGCUCAGGGUAUAACUAACCUGGUCAAUUUAAGUACCCACACCCUUUCCCAAUACAUAGGGCUCCGGGUGUAUACUACUUCUGCAGGUGUGCAGGACCUUUUACCAGUGAAAGAACCUUACACAGUAAUAUCUUUAUCCUCUAUUUAUUAGCAAUCACCAAAACCAGAAUGCACACAUUACACAUACAGUGCUCACAACUCUGCCUCUGCCACACAAUUUCUGGCUCUGCCACUGACCAUGUGUGUGACCUUGGGCAAAUCAUAUCACCACUCUGUGCCUCCAUUUCCCAUUCCACCAUUUCUUUGCCUCUAUCUAGAUUGUAAAUUCUCUAAGGUUGGGACGGUCCCUCACUGGGUAUAUGUACAGUGCCUACCAUAAUGGGUGUGGUCUCAAUUAGGGCCGGUGCAUGUUUGUGUCUCUGAUAUAAAGUCACUGACUUCAUGAGUGUAGACAGGCAGAAAUCAUGUAAGCCAUGUGUCUUGCAUUUUAAAUUUCCUAGAGCAAGUGUCCCUUCUUGUGACAGGCUGGAUUGCUCUGUGCAACUGCUCUCACCUCACUAGUGAUCAUACUGAAAUGAGAGCAAGCCCUGGUAUACUAGAUAGUGUGUGUGUGUAACCAGUCUGUAUUCCAAACCUGGACUGCAAAAAAUAUAGGCCCUGAAUCUGAUCUCACUCAUUUAUUUUUAUUCCCACAGCAGCAGGAUUUCAUUCAGCAUUCAUGGGAUCAGCUAGCAAGAUUCACACAUUAAUUCUGUCUAUCUGCAAACUUCCCUGGGGAUCAGGGACAGCAGGAAGAACUUGGUCAUUUCUUUUUAAUCAAUCUACCAAUUGGUCCUACACUCAUCACUGAGACUUGGAAAG